GUCGUCUGCAAAUUAGGACAUGAGGUCCUCAUGCUUGGUUGAAUCCAAUUUUAACUGUCAGUGAGUGAAAAUAGAUAACGAUAACUUCUCGGUAUUGUACGUUCUAUUAUUACAUCUAUCUGUCAUUAUAUUUUGAUUUUUUAGGUCUUGUAUUUUUGUGAUGAUCCAAUUUGAGCAACUGUAGUAAAUUCCAGGCACCUUGCUUGAAUUUAUGAAUGAAAUGUAUUGACAUGCGUAGUAGAACCCAUGUGUCACUU
rnacentral:lncRNA from 1 species